GUGCAGGGAAGGACUUGAUCAGUCUGGCUUCUGGCUAUAUUCCAGGACUUAUCUGGUCCUCUGUUUAACCAAAGCCUGACCGUAUGGUACUAAAG
rnacentral:pre_miRNA from 1 species